CCUACGGGUGGCAGCAGUGGGGAAUAUUGCGCAAUGGGCGAAAGCCUGACGCAGCGACGCCGCGUGAGGGAUGAAGGUCUUCGGAUCUUAAACCCCUGUCAGCAGGGAAGCACGGUCACUGUGUUAUUAAGCAGUGCAUUGACCGUACCCGCAAAGGAAGCACCGGCUAACUCCGUGCCCGCAGCCGCGGUAAUACGGAGGGUGGGAGCGGUAAUCGGAAUUACUGGGCGUAAAGCGCAUGUGGGCGGUAUUGCAAGUCAAGGGUGAAAUGCCCGGGGUCAACGUGGGAACUGCCUUUGAAACUGGCAAGCUGGAGUGUGUGAGAGGGAAGUGGAAUUCCAGGUGUAGGAGUGAAAUGCGUAGAUAUCUGGAGGAACAUCAGUGGCGAAGGCGACUAUCUGGCACAUAACUGACGCUGAGGAGCGAAAGCGUGGGUAGCAAACAGGAUUAGAUACCCCAGUAGUC
rnacentral:rRNA from 1 species